AACAAAACCAGUGACGAUGAAGAUCGAAGCCGAAGUUCAAAAUUUUUACCAUUUUCACUCGCGUUUAUUAUUAAUUUUUAGCAGUUCGGAAUCUGAUUCAUCUGAAUCUGAUACAGAUUUCAUUGAAUCUGAAUCUGAUACAGAUUCCACUGAAUCGUCAUCUUCUUCCGAAGAUGAUAUUCUGCUUUGUAUUGAUGUGAGGGAAAAAAUUCCUCGCAUGGAAGGUUAUUUUGAAGACGUUGUGAGCCAAAUGGGGUAUUUAAAAGCCAUUUUCGUCUCUCUGCACGGCACUAUAGUCUGUACAUACAUACCAUGGAAACAAUUGAAUAGAUAAGUUCCCCGUACCUACCACUAUUUGUGACUUAACCAGUGAGAUGGGACUCUGAAGGCAGCUCUGACUUUUGAUCCAGACCAAAAGCUGAACAAUCCUUGGUCCAGCACCCUCAGAGGGGAUGAUUGGAGGCAAAGCCGAAGUAAUGCAGCAGAGGUCUCAAUAAACAAAGAAAGAAAGAAGAAAGUACACGAAACAUGAGAUCUCCAUUAAAGAGAUUUCGGGAAGGGUCCCAUGAUUUGCCUCUGUGGGAUGUGCACUAUUUUGCUAUUUACAAAAGUAGUCACAGCAAAUAAAGAUUUGUGAUUAUUACAUCAGGAUACUAAAAAAAGAAAAGAAAGAAAAAAAAAAUGCUUAGUUUCCUGGGAGCAUGCAUGACUCUUUUAUACAGAAAGCUUCAAUUGUGAGUGAUUAAUGAUCAAAAUGCUUGAUCAUGGCUUUUAGCUUGCAUCAACCCAUUUUCAGUUCCUCAAACUUCAGGUCUUUCAUCCGCCGCAGCGGCUGGGGCUCCAACAUCCUCUAUUGUACAAAAUAUAUUGUUUAAUUUUGGUAUUUUUAGUUAUAAUAAAAAAACAAUGUAUUUUGUAUUUUUAUUGUUGAAUAUCAAUUAUAUUCACCAAUUUUUUUGUUAUGAUUAAAAAUUAUGAUACAUUUUAUCAUAUAUUAAAAAAUGGUAUCAUUUCUAAGUUAAAUGUACAUUUUAUCCAUGAUUAUGUAAUUUGUACUUUCCCAAAUUGCGUAUUUAGCUUAGCGGGAAAAAUUGCCCCCACCUUUACUCACAGUUCACGUGUAACAGCUGCCGUCCUGAGGGGGCUCUAUCUUCUGCUGGCUGCUGUCCCAAAUGGGUUAACUGACAUUUUACAAAAUUCCAAUAAACCAAAACGGACCUUUCACAAAAUCCUAAUCAAACAAAACAGACCCUUCACAAAAUUCUGAUAAACCAAAACAGAUCUUUCACAAAUUGUUUAUUGAAAGAGCAAAUCUGAAAUCUAAAUAUUGCAUAUUUUGGCAUAUAAACUGAGUUUUCGAAACCUUUCUAAAAGUUAAAUUUGAGGGAUGAGCUUAUUCAGGAUCUGCUAAUUUUGAAAAAAAAAAAAAAAAAAAACAUACUUUUGUGAUGCUCUUGCAAGCAAUAAAUUAAAACUGCCAAAUAAAUAUAAUGUGUGGUUUUUCUUUAAAAGAAAUUAAUAGCUGAAAGUCAGUUUCGUUUCAAAUAAUUUUGCAUGUUUGUUUUAUCGUAGCUGUUUUGCAGUGGUGUUGAUAUAAACUUCUCUGAAAAGGCAGCAUUAGCACAUUUCCCCUCUCAUGAUUUAAACAACUAUAAUAAAAAUAAUAACAAUAUAUGUCAGCGAAAUGAACUUGGAACUGAAAAAGAUAGUAGGGGCGGGGAGAAAAUGUGGUCGCUUCAGAUAGGGUUACCAGUUUUAAAAUUAUCGUCACUUAUUUUAGUGUUUGGAUUCAACCUUUCUAGUGACUUGAUUAGAAAUUAAUUCCCAUCAUUUUACCAACUUGGCAAUAUUUGCGUUUUUACGGUGCAAUGUUAAACAUUAUCUAGCAGGAGAAAAUUAUAUUGGUUUGAAUUUUCAUUGCUAACAAGGAUGAUUAACUUUAAUAAACUGAUUUAUUUAGCGGUUUUAUACUUUUGGAUGCCUUCAUUUUGAAAAAUGCAAUCGGUUUACAUCUGAUAUGAGAAUCAUAUUUUAUUCUUUUUUCAAGCUAACUUCACAUUAUUAGGAUGCAAAUAAAUGAAAAGACUCUUUACUUAUGUUUAUAACGCUCAUUUCAAUUUUUUUAAAGUGAAAUUCCAUUUUAUUUUAUGAGUCAAAAAUUAAAAUGCUGAACCAAUGGUUUAAUUUUAUUUUUGCUUCCACUGUGUCGAUAAAUAUAAAGGAUAUCUUUUGCAUAGGCCUCUAAAAUACAAUUUCAUAACAAUUUUACAAGAAAUAGAUAUUUUAUAAGCUGUCUUUAUAACUUUGACGCCUUCACUUUGAGGAUUGCAAUAUGUUUGCACCUGCUACGGGAAUCGAAUUAUUUGAAUUUUUGAUGUUUUGUACUCUAUGUUAAAAGGUAAACAAAUAAAAUAUCUUUUUUAUUUUUGCUAAAAUUACAAAAUUUAUAAGUUUAACAAACGAAAUUCGUUACUCUUUAAGAGUGUCUUGGGUCAUAAAGUUAAAUGCUGAACCCCUCCCUGCCUGAUUUUUUUUCAAUUAUUUUCAAUGCCAUACCUAUAACAUUUCUAAUAUAAUUCAACGCAAUGUAUAUACUUGAGGGGUGUUCAUCUCCCAAAGAGCAAUGCCACUCUCCCCCCCCCCCCCCAAAUACUAGGAAAAUACUCAAGAAUGAUAUGCUCAACAGAAAAGAGGAAAACACACAACUAAAUGUUUCAAUGAUGCAGUUUGCGCUAUCUCAAAAUGUUAAAAUUUUGGUUUAACAAUUUUUUUUUUGUUUGAAAAAUAAUUUGAUUUUUCACAAAAUGAUUUAAUUUUUCACAAAAAAACGGACCUUGUGAAAAAUCCUGGACAGACUCCUGUUAUAUUUAUGCAUGUGAUGCAGUGUUGCUUAAAUUUUAAAUAUUCAACUAUUCCAUUCAAAAUGAUUUCUUUAUUUUGUAUAUGUAACUGUUCCUUCAUUUUAUUCCUGAAAAGCUAUAAUGCUUCUACUAAGUAUAUGAAUAAAGAGCAAAAUUGCUUUUCUUUGCUUUAAAAAAUGUUUUUGUACUGUCUCAUUUUUAAUUUAAUGUAUAUCAAAGUCCCUCUCAA